UCGUUUUGUUACAAUUUUAAAUCGUAUAGAUAAGAUCUCUCGUAUGUGAUUGUGUAUCAAAAUUUAAAUUAAGUGGCGUAACUUUGAAGUCAAAAAUCACACAAAAUAAAUGAAGCGACUCGCUUUCCCUCUUUAAAACCCAACGGUACCCCACACCAUCAUCCCAACACACACGGUUACCACUCUCUCUAUCACGAUCACACACAAACACAGUUUCACGCUCAAUCUUGCAUGAUGCUAUGGAGGAGAUCGAGGAAACAGAAAUGUGCAUCAUAUGUGUUCGACGACAUUCAGUAGAUCUAACUCGUAUCAGUAUGCUAUUCAGUCGAUCAGUGUGUUGUAAUUUACCGGACAAAUUAUUGCAAGUCGGUAUCACACGCCAAUUACAGGCGCCUUCGACGACAUUCAGGAGUUGUUACUCGUAAUCAGUAUAAUAUUCAUUUGAUCAGGUUGUUUCUUACUUGCAUUUGCAAAUUCUUUAACCUAAAUUUUCCCUCUGUUCCUUUUGUCAUGUUAGUGUUUGGUAAUUGUUUCUAAUCUGCUUGUUAAUUACUGGUUAUUUAGGCGUUUUUUUGUGCUGAUGUUUGAUUUACCGGACUGUAUUUUAAAAGAAGAAGAUGAGAGAACACUAAAAGUGUGCUGGAUACUCUCUCAAAUGGACAACACUAAAAGUUUUAACUAACUUUUAGAAACUAUUAAAUGUGCUUAAUCUAGGGAUUCCCUCCAAAAACUAUAUAAUACUGCCAUCAAAGUCAAGUAGGAAAUACAUUAAAUAUCUUUGACUACAUAUGUUAUUUUGCCUAAAAUUUGAUAGUACAAUAUUAUGCCUCAACUUGUUUGGCACUAAUAUGGCUUUUCCAUGCAUGUCUACAUGACAUGUCUCAUGCGCAGUCAUAGGUAAGCUUCUUAGGUGAACAAACAUUAGUAUUUGGUAAACCUAUUGCUAUGGUAUAUGCAUAAUCGCGCUAUAGUGAUGUAACAAUCCUAUUUCAUUUAGUUACCAGGAAUAAUGUGCAUGUGUGCUCCAACUGUUGAGACUAUCAUCUUGAUGAAAUUUCAGUUUGUUAUCAUCAUUGAAUUGAAGUUUAAAUAAGAUUCUUAAACAUUACAAUAUCCUGCAGCUAAAGUCUUCCGUAAUAUCAUGUAGUAAUUUCCGCAUUAUGAAAAUCAUGUAGUCAGACUCAGAGUUGGAAUUUCCUGUUAUUAUAGUCUUACAUGUGAACUCCAUGUGUUGGAAUUUGCCGUUAUGAUGGUCUUCUUUGAGUUGGUCUCUUUUUCAUUGGUAAUACAGAUUAAUAUAUAUUCGGGUAACUGGAAUGGAUGAUGGGUUAAACGUCAGAGAAGAAAUUUGCUUUGUAAUUUAUCACAUAUUUUUGCCAAGUUCUACUCCUCCAUAGCUUUAUUGUUUGUUUGGCACAUCUCUUUAAGCCACUGACAUUAUAAACUUGCUUGUAGUUGAUUUUUUAGUCAUAAAGAUAGUACAUAUCAUGUCUUCCGUAUGUAUUAUUAUGAUAUCUUUAAUAAACUGAUGAACUCACAUGGAUUGUAUAAUGAUCUGAAUUAUCAUUCUACUUUUGUUUAACUGUAGCUAAAGUUAAAUGAUGGAUAUUGAGAGUGACGUUCAAGUUUGUGCUAAAUGAGUCUAGGAGUGUAUCAAUUGCAAUCGAUUCUGUCCUGCAAAUCAUAUUGUAUCUGAUCAUAGUAUUUCCUGUUUAAAAUGCAAGUUUAACUUCAGUAAUUUUAGAACUUUGUGUACAAGUUCAUACUGUCGGUGUUGGAUGAUUGGUUAUUCCGUAAUAGGACAUGAAUAGUCGUCAUAAUGUUGUAUCCUGUCUUUUGUGUAACAUAUCGAAGUUUACGGAUGACUUGUAUUCGUUACUCUGUGCUUUAUUGUCUUUAUUCCAUAUCCACAGAAACACUUGAUAUAAGUCCCUGAGUUAGGGCAGAAACACUUGAUAUAAGUCACUCACAGUCCCACAUCGACUGAGUGAAGAAUACAUAUAUGAAGAACUGCCUAUAUAAACAGCGGCCCAAUAAAGGAAUAAGCAUACCUUUCUCGGCCUUUUGGCUAAGAUCAAGUGUAGUAUCUGUUCUUAUCAGUUUAAUAUCUGAUAUGUGGGCCAUCGGCCCACUCAAUAUUAAUCUUAUUUUUUUAUGGGGAAAGGCCCAUCACAAUAGCUUGCUAUUGGGGUCUUUGAGCGUCGCCUUGGUGUUGCACUACUGCCUAGGCCUGGCGCACCCCUCCAAAA